rnacentral:misc_RNA from 1 species
GAUGAAGAACGUAGCGAAAUGCGAUACGUAAUGUGAAUUGCAGAAUUCAGUGAAUCAUCGAAUCUUUGAACGCAUAUUGCGCUCUUUGGUAUUCCGAAGAGCAUGCUUGUUUGAGUAUCAGUAAACACCUCAAAGACUUCAAUUUGUUUUGAAUGGCUUUGGACUUGAGCAAUCCCAACACCAGUUUUUACGAUCGGUGGAGGGUUGCUUGAAAUGCAGGUGCAGCUGGACAUUCUCCUGAGCUAAAAGCAUAUUUAUUUAGUCCCGUCAAACGGAUUAUUACUUUUGCUGCAGCUAACAUAAAGGGAGUUUGACCGUAUUGGCUGACUGAUGCAGGAUUUCACAAGGGUCGGCAACGAUUCUUGUAAAACUCGAUCUCAAAUCAAGUAAGACUACCCGCUGAACUUAAGCAUAUCAAUAAGCGGAGGA